ACUUAACCUCUCUGAGUCUCUGUAAAAUGGAGGGAAAAAAUGCUUCUCUGGAAGAGUGGUUAAAUACUUGAAAGAGGCAAUGUAACUGUCUUAUGCCUAGAGCAUAGUAGGUGCUUAACAAACAGUAGCUUAUUUCUGGCAUUAUAAUUAGAUGAGGGGAAGGUCCCUCCUAGCACAGACCCUGGAAGAUUCUAUGACUCAGGGAGUGGGCAGAUUGCAUCCAUGGUCCCUGCCCUCAUUUGUAGCUACCUGAAGGGCCUGUCUCAGCAAUAAAAACAGCCAAGUGAGCACAGGCAGAGAAACAUCAUUUCCUCCUCCUCUUGAGGGCAGGAGUCCAGGCGCAGCCCCAGCAGCAGGUUGGAAUAAAUGCAGAUGCUGCAAAUUGAUGGAGGCCUGGUGUCUUCCAGAGUGGAGGUAAAGGCUGGCUGAGGAAUCAGUGAGGCCAGGAAGAGGGCUCAGCUGAGCAACUGAUCAAAGCAUCCCUCUUCAGGAAGGAGCUUCCUGUGUUUUCUCUGGGAACUCACCUGUUUUCCACUCCAGACUCUCCAAGAUAUGCAGAGCUUUGGGCCAGGAUCCUACAGCCACGGGUCAUGCAGAGCCAGUUGGCCACAUCCUUUGGGCCAAAUUUGGUCCUAACCAGGUCUUACCACGGUAACUGCUAACCAGUCCAUCUUCAGUUAAUAUUUCAUGCGAAUUGUUGAACAUCUUACCAUUUAAUCCAGAAGUUAUGUCCUUUAAGGAAUCGACCCUGAGCCUGUGAGUUUUACUUUGGGUUGGGGGUGAAGGAGUGGACCUU
rnacentral:lncRNA from 1 species